GACGAACCGUACGAACGUUAUUCGGAAUCAUUGGGCUUAAAGGGUGCGUAGGCUGUGCAGAAAGUUGGGUGUGAAAUCCCCUGGCUUAACCAGGGAAUUGCAUCCAAAACUACUGCGCUGGAGGAAGACAGAGGUAAGCGGAACUUCGGGUGGAGCGGUGAAAUGCGUUGAUAUCCGAAGGAACACCGGUGGCGAAAGCGGCUUACUGGGUCUUUUCUGACGCUGAGGCACGAAAGCUAGGGUAGCGAACGGG
rnacentral:rRNA from 1 species